UUUUUUGAGACGGAGUCUUGCUCUGUCACCCAGGCUGGAGUGCAAUGGCAUGAUCUCGGCUCACUACAACCUCUGCCCCCUGGGUUCAAGCAAUUCUUGUGUCUCAGCCUCCCAAGUAGCUGGGAUCACAGACUCAUGCCACCAUGCCCGGCCAAAUUUUGUAUUUUCAGUAGAGACGGGAUUUCACCACGUUAGCCAGGCUGGUCUUGAACUCCUGAUCUCAGGUGAUCUACCUGCCACGGCCUUCCAGAGUGCUGGGAUUAUAGACAUGAGCCACUGCACCCGGCCGAACUUUUAUCUUGAAGUAGAUAGUGUCAACAAAUACAAAAAUAAAAAUAAUGUCUUUAAAUGAGGUGAUCAGGGAAGGCCUUCUCUGAAGGAAUUCAUAUAUUAAUGCCUAUAUAGAAGUGGGGAGAAGGUUCAGGGUUGGAGGAAGAGUAGGACAAAC
rnacentral:sRNA from 1 species